rnacentral:lncRNA from 1 species
CCAAAUUAAAAAAAAAAAAAUUUGAAGACCAUCUUUGCGUAGGAGCACUUUCUGCAACACAUUCGGCCGCCGAACUUCAUCAACCUUCGGCCGCCGAACCUCAUCCUCAUUCUGCCGCUGAACAUCUCACCAAGGCACAGUCACCAUCGCAGAUCUGAAUCAUGGAUGAGGUAAGUAGAUCUGAUUUUUCUUUACUGACAUCUUUUAUGGAAGAAUUUGCCAUAGGACUAGUUCAACAGGUUCAAGCAUCC